rnacentral:lncRNA from 1 species
GCAACCCCUAGGUGAGAGCCCCCCCCGGUGAGACCCCUUGGAGCAGCCUCCCCUAGGCCCUGCUGAGGUUCCCCCCCACCUUGGUGUGACCCCCCCCCCAGCCCCUUCCCUGGGGCCGAGUGCCUGGGCACAGGGGGAGCGGGGCCCCCCAGGGGGUCUGGUUGGGGACCUGCUCAGGGACCUGCUACGGGGCCACUCUGCGCUGUUGGGCUGCUCACCUCCAGGUUGAAGCCUCCCGGAGCCAUGGUGCAGAGCUCAGCGCUGGGCGGCUGCAGCCGGGCUCUGGCACCGGGCAGCUCCGGCGAGGCUCCGGUGCAGGUGCAGCUUCAGAUGGCCUCAGCGAGGUUCCAGCACGGGUGCAGCUUCAGGCGGCCGCGGCCGGGCUCCGGCACGGGUGCAGCUUCAGGCGGCCGCAGCGAGGCUCUGGCGCGGGUGCAGCUUCAGGCAGCUGCGGCCUGGCUCUGGCGCGGGUGCAGCUUCAAGUGGCUGCGCCCGGGCUCCGGCGCGGGUGCAGCUUCAGGUGGCUGUGGCCAGGCUCCGGCGUGGGUGCAGCUUCAGACAGCUGCAGUGAGGCUCCGGUGCUGGGCAGCUCCGGCGAUGCUGCGGCGCGGGUGCAGCUCUGGGUGGCUCUGGUGCGGGUGCAGCUCUGGGCAGCUCCGGUGCGGGGGCGGCUCUGGUGUGGGUGCAGCUCUGGUGCGGGUGCAGCUCCGGGCGGCUCUGGUGCGGGUGCAGCUCUGGGCUGCGGGUGCAGUUCCAGGCGGCUCCGGUGCGGGUGCAGCUUUGGGCUGCGGGUGCAGCUCUGGGCGGUGGGUGCAGUUCCAGGCGUCUCCAGUGCGGGUGCAGCUCCGGCACGGGUGCAGCUUUGGGGUGCGGGUGCAGGUCCGGGUCGGUUGUGGCGCAGGUGCAGCUCCGGGCGGUGGUGGCGAGGCUCUGGCGCCGUGCUCAGGUCCCUGUGGUUUCGGCGGCGCGGAGGGGAAGCGGGGGGGCCCCGUCCCCUCCUCGGCACCUGGGGGGCUGGGCCAGGUUUGGGGAACCGAGCGCUGCCGGUGA